AGUGUGUCUGAUCUCAGCAUCAGUCUCUCUCUACAUCUGGAGGUGGAAUAUCAGGAUAAAAACAGCUACAGCUGUGUGCUCAACAAUCCCAUCAGCAACCAGACUCAACAUCUGGACAUCACUCAACUCUGUCACACAUGUUCAGAUUCGGUGAAGCUGUGAUCUGAUUGGUCCUCUCUGCUCUGGUGGGCAUUGCUACUGUCCUUGUUCGUGACAUCAGUUCCAGGGCUGAACAAGAUCAAGCACAUAUACACAGAAACCUAUAUGAUGAUGUGAUUUCAGUGAUUGACAUUUAAAUAAUUGAAUCUCCAUUUAUUUAUAAUGGCUUUAUAUAUUCAUCUCCUGGUAUCGAUGUUAACUUAUCGGUGGCUUAUUUCCAAUCUAAAAGAGGAUUUCAAAAAGGCUUGAUUGCUUGUUAAACCUGCUGUGAUCUGAUUUGUUCACAGCUAAUGUGGUGUGACGUUUGAUGCAUACUAUGCAUGAUUCUUUUGUAAUGUGAUGCCAGUUUAAUAUAACACACAAUGCUAAUAACUGAACAUCAUCACAGUCUGUGAAUGUUUCUCCUUUCAGUGGUGCAUCCGCCAAGCCAAAUGUCUCAGGUAAUCAAAUGCGAUUUUUCAAAAAUGAACAAUUACAUUUACAGUUUA